rnacentral:pre_miRNA from 1 species
AAUAUCAAUUAUACAUGAACUUCGAUUUAAUAUGCAAUUUUGUACAUGAACUUUGAUUUUGGACAAUUUUAUAAAUGGCAUUUUGAUUUGAUCUAAUUCUCAAAAAUUAUUAACAUAGUUAUUGAUAUAGAAUCAUUUUAUUUUUAUAUAUUGCAUACACAAAUAAUUAUAUUUAUCCAAUAUAAAAAUAAUUUGAUUAUUUAUUUCUUUAGAUGUACAUGAUUUAAUCAAAAUUAAAGUUUCAUGUAUAUAAUUGCAUUAAAUCAAAGUUCAUGGAUCAAAAUGCACAUUAAAUCAAAAUUCAUGUAUAAUUUUGAGAUU